AUGUUUCUCUCUCUAGCACCUAUAUCUUUGAACAAACCAGUGUCUGAUGUUCGACAUGUGUCAGUGUCAACACAACAUCAUCGAUCAAGGACACAAACCAUAAACAUAAGCACAAAGAUUCAAUCUUUGAUUCACAUUGUACUUGGACACAUUUUUCACAAAGAUUCUUUCCUUAUUCAUGAUGAUGAUGCAUUGAACAUGUUCUUUCUUCGUCCUUACAAAAUUGCCUGCAAAUACAUACAAUCAAUCACCCCCCCACAAUGUUACAACAUAGUACUAUCUACUCAUACCUACGUGUAUAUUUUGUACGGUUCAUGCUUUACAUACCCCUUUAUCAUUCACUGUUAA